rnacentral:rRNA from 1 species
AGCAUUAUACGGCGAAACUGCGAAUGGCUCAUUAUAUAAGUUAUCGUUUAUUUGAUAGCACCUUACUACUUGGAUAACCGUGGUAAUUCUAGAGCUAAUACAUGCUAAAAAUCCCGACUUCGGAAGGGAUGUAUUUAUUAGAUUAAAAACCAAUGCCCUCUGGGCUCUCUGGUGAUUCAUGAUAACUUCUCGAAUCGCAUGGCCUUGCGCCGGCGAUGGUUCAUUCAAAUUUCUUCCCUAUCAACUUUCGAUGUUUGGGUAGUGGCCAAACAUGGUUGCAACGGGUAACGGAGGGUUAGGGCUCGACCCCGGAGAAGGAGCCUGAGAAACGGCUACUACAUCCAAGGAAGGCAGCAGGCGCGCAAAUUACCCAAUCCCGACACGGGGAGGUAGUGACAAUAAAUACUGAUACAGGGCUCUUUUGGGUCUUGUAAUUGGAAUGAGUACAAUUUAAAUCCCUUAACGAGGAACAAUUGGAGGGCAAGUCUGGUGCCAGCAGCCGCGGUAAUUCCAGCUCCAAUAGCGUAUAUUAAAGUUGUUGUGGUUAAAAAGCUCGUAGUUGAACCUUGGGCCUGGCUGGCCGGUCCGCCUCACCGCGUGCACUGGUCCGGCCGGGCCUUUCCCUCUGUGGAACCCCAUGCCCUUCACUGGGUGUGGCGGGGAAACAGGACUUUUACUUUGAAAAAAUUAGAGUGCUCCACGCAGCCUAUGCUCGAAUACAUUAGCAUGGAAUAAUGAAAUAGGACGUGCGGUUCUAUUUUGUUGGUUUCUAGGACCGCCGUAAUGAUUAAUAGGGACAGUCGGGGCAUCAGUAUUCAAUUGUCAGAGGUGAAAUUCUGGAUUUUAUUGAGACUAACUACUGCGAAAGCAUUUG